rnacentral:rRNA from 1 species
CUCAUUACAACAGGUAUAAUAUACCAGUUGGUUAAAGCUAAACGGAUAACUGCGGUAAUUCUGGAGCUAAUACGUGCGGAAAACCUGAUUCCUUCGGAGUCGGGUGCAUUUAUUGGUGCAAAAUCAGUCUCUGAAAAUUUGCUUAAUCUGGAUAACCCAGCAUAUCGCAUGGCCUUGUGCCGGCGAAGUUUCUGUCUAGUAUCUGUCUUAUCAAUUGUCGUUGGUGCUGUAUUGGAGUACCACGGUAUUAACGAGUAACGGAGAAUCAGGGUUUGACUCCGGAGAGGGAGCCUUAGAGACGGCUACCAUGUCUAAGGAUAGCAGCAGGCGCGAAAAUUACCCAAUGACAAAACGCCGAGGUAGUGACAAGACAUAACAAGGCCGUUCUCUAUGAGGUCGGUUAUUGGAAUGAGUAAAAUCCAGACACUUUAACGAGUAUCUACGAGAGGGCAAGUCUGGUGCCAGCAGCCGCGGUAAUUCCAGCUCUCGUAAGGUAUAGAAUUAUUGCUGUGUUUAAAAAGUUCGUAGUUGGAUUGUCAAGUUGGCGCGGGUCUGACGUUCGCGUCAGUUCUCGUCGCCUUCUUUUUGUACGUUCUUGUGCGGUUGGCUUCGGUCGGCCGUGCUCCGUACAGGAUUACUUUGAACGGCUCAGUGCUCAACUCAUGUCUUAUGACUGAAUACCGGUGCAUGGAAUAAUGGAACAAGGCUUCGGCCGGAUGUUUUACUGGUUUUACCGGCUGAAACAAUGGUUAACAGGAACAGUCGGGGGCAUUCGUAUCGUUACGCGAGAGGUGAAAUUCGUGGACCGUAGCGAGACGCCCAAAAGCGAAAG